rnacentral:rRNA from 1 species
AGAGUUUGAUCAUGGCUCAGAACGAACGCUGGCGGCAGGCUUAACACAUGCAAGUCGAACGCAUCCUUCGGGGUGAGUGGCAGACGGGUGAGUAACGCGUGGGAACGUGCCCUUCAGUUCGGAAUAACCCAGGGAAACUUGGGCUAAUACCGGAUACGUGCGAGAGCAGAAAGAUUUAUCGCUGAAGGAUCGGCCCGCGUCUGAUUAGCUAGUUGGUGAGGUAAUGGCUCACCAAGGCGACGAUCAGUAGCUGGUCUGAGAGGAUGAUCAGCCACAUUGGGACUGAGACACGGCCCAAACUCCUACGGGAGGCAGCAGUGGGGAAUAUUGGACAAUGGGCGCAAGCCUGAUCCAGCCAUGCCGCGUGAGUGAUGAAGGCCUUAGGGUUGUAAAGCUCUUUCGGCGGGGACGAUAAUGACGGUACCCGCAGAAGAAGCCCCGGCUAACUUCGUGCCAGCAGCCGCGGUAAUACGAAGGGGGCUAGCGUUGUUCGGAAUCACUGGGCGUAAAGGGCGCGUAGGCGGCUUGAUAAGUCGGGGGUGAAAGCCUGUGGCUCAACCACAGAAUUGCCUUCGAUACUGUCUGGCUUGAGACCGGAAGAGGUAAGUGGAACUGCGAGUGUAGAGGUGAAAUUCGUAGAUAUUCGCAAGAACACCAGUGGCGAAGGCGGCUUACUGGUCCGGUUCUGACGCUGAGGCGC